UACAAUAGUCGCAUUUAAAUUUCGAUCAUCGACUAAUGUGUUUUUAGAUCGUAUUAAUUAACCCAGUGGCGUUACUGCAUUGUCUUUUUUUUUUUUUUCUUUUCCUUUUUCUUUUGCGACGCUAUUUUUCAUAAUUAUGAAGGUAGCUUAUAAAAGAUGCGUUUUAAAAAUCAAUAUCAAAAGGCCAACCGAAUAGAGUCUAAUUCCCAAGCGUGAUGUAUUGUAAAUCAGAAGGGGACAAUAGAACAUCGCGAUUCGUAUUAUAUACGCGCAUGAUGACAUACGAAUCAGCAAUGAGAGGAUGAACAUGAGGGAGGUUGGAGUGGAAGGGUGAAGGGGGAUGGAUUCCUAAAGAACGCGCGUAACAACGUGUGACGGGUUUUUCCAACGAAGGCGCAGUCAAGGCAAGAGCACGAGGCAAGUUGGAAAAGGAAAGACAUCAGCAGCAGCAGCAUCAGCAUCAACAUCAGCAGCAGCAGCAUCAGCAUCAGCACGGCGUCAGAGAGACUCUCCUCUUCCUCCCCCCACUUUUCCUUCUUCUACCCCUCGUCGUAUGCUUUCUGUCUCGCUCGUUCGCGCGUUAGCCGAUCUCGGUCGAAGCACGGUAAACGUACUCGGGGUUGCUUAGUAGUGGGGGUAAGGGCCAUACGGAGACGUACGAAGCACGUCGAACUCCGUUCGGCUCGGUUCAGUCGCGUACGAACCGCAGUCGACGACGCGUCGCUGUGCGUCGAGAAAUUUGAAGAAACGUGAACGAGCGUACCUACGUGUAGAAGAGAGAGAGAUAGAGAUAGACACAGGGACAGACAGAGUGGGGGAGGUCGCGUGAUAUAAAGGAAGCGUGCGCGAGUGCGACUGGCGAUAAACUACAAGUGACACCAACGAUCGUUCGUCGAGAAUGGAUUUUUUCGAGGAUUCACGAGACUUUUCGAGGAGUAUCGGAGCAAAGCGAGCGCAAGCGCGAGCGUAGGCGUCGUCGUCGAGAGGACCCGACGGCCAACUCGACUCUUUUUUCUCCUCCUCCUUUUCCUCCUUCUCUUAUUUCUCCUUCUCCUUUUACUUCUCCUCUUACUCCUACUCGAUUUUCGCGUGAGCCGCACGUUUUACCCUUGCACCAGCGUUACGCAGUCUCGCGCGUGAAAAUAUAUAUUCUCGUUGCCGGCAGCCGGCGAGGCGUUCAGUCAAUUAGCCCGUAAUGCCGCGACCUGCCGCGUCGGUCUCGGCCAAUUAAGUGGUGAUUAGUGCAUCGGCUCUCCCUCAAUACUCCACCAAUCCGCCACCAUUCUCGUCGUUUCUUCUCUACCUGACUUUACCUACUUUCCCUAUUUGGUCUUUACGAGAGAGAUUACCCCAUAUCGUUUCCAUUUUCCUUCUUUCCAUUAUUCCCUUGUAUUUCUAUUUCUCACUUUCCUCCCUUUCUUUUUUUCGAUCGUCGAAUGUCGAAACGACCUAGAAAAUGUGUUAAAGACAUAACGUAGUAUUAUUCUCGAUAUCGAAGAUUGUAAAUCAUCCAAACAACUAGACCAAAGGAGUGGGGGAAUGUUUCUGAGAAAUACACGAUAAUUCUGAGCUUCAAGAACGUCCAACUUAACGAACUAAAACAAAAGUUUUGUAUCUCGAAGUAGCGUGAAAAUUUUGUUUUCUUUCUGAGAAAGAGAGAGAGAGAGAGAGAGAGAGGGCGAGGGAAAGAGAGAGUAAGAAGAAAAAGUGUGUUGUGGACGUAAAGAGUACUACGCGACCUAUCGAAGAAAGGAACUACGCGAGAAGAGUGAAAAAAAUGCGCCUCGAGGUCACGAAGGAAAACAAGCCUCGUGGCACCUUCUUUUUCUUCUUCUUCUUCUUCUUGUAGCUUCGGGAGGAGGAUCUCGUUGAAAGAGGGAGGUGGACUGUGAGAAAAGUGGCACGAUGGAGUUCCGGGCGCCACAUCCGCUCUUGCAUCCCUCCCACGCUGCUGGACAUCCUUACUAUUAUCCAGCUGCUGCUGCUGCUGCUGCUGUUGCUGCUGCUGCUGCUACUGCUACUGCUGCUGCUACUUCUGCUACUGCUGCUGCUGCUGUUGCUACUGUUGCUGCUGGUGAAUUUUUUCCCCGGCGUAAUCGAGCGAUUCAAGAAAAAUUCGCUUAUUGCUUCGUCGAUAACAACCGGCCACGUUAUAACGAGCGGAUAAGAAACGGAAGGAUAUAGACCGAGUUCUUAAUGACGACACUUUUACGAUACACGUAUAUCGAGAACCCAUUCGGUUUUCCGACAAAGAAAAAGUGGGGGAGCGAAGAGGUUCGAACAUUUUUUCCGCCCUUUUCCCGAAAAGCACGGGAGCUGUUUGUCGCGGAGCUAAAUCGCUUUAC